AUUUCUUUAACCACUUCACUUAUAUCUUUGACAUUAAAAGUCACUCUAUUUAUGCAAAUAGUUCUCACUCAAAUUAAUCCAGAAGAAAAAGAGGAGGAAGAAGAAACUGAGAAUAAGGGAGAGAGAGAUCACAACUUAUCGACUAAAGAGAUAUUGAAUCUAGCAGAAGAAACAGAAAGGGCUCAUUCUACUCUUGAUGAUCUCUUAGAAAAAAUUCUCCAUCCAAUUCCGGAGGAUUAUGAAGUCCAAGGAGAACCUCGGGAAUGCCUUGUCAGGGCAACAAACCUUAAAGAUCAAGAAACUGAUGAAAUGAAGAGUGG
rnacentral:lncRNA from 1 species